UGGGCAUGAUGAGGAUAUUUAUGAACAUUUUCAUAUGGUCAUUCAUAUGAUGAAAACAAUCCUCCUACUCAUUCUGA